GACCACGGUAGCUCAGUUGGCAGAGCAUUGGGCUAGCAUUCCAAAGGUCGUAGGUUCGAUUCCCACCGUGGUCA
rnacentral:tRNA from 1 species